UACGAAGGGGGCUAGCGUUGCUCGGAAUCACUGGGCGUAAAGCGCACGUAGGCGGACUCUUAAGUCGGUGGUGAAAUCCUGGAGCUCAACUCCAGAACUGCCUUCGAUACUGGGAGUCUCGAGUCCGGGAGAGGUGAGUGGAACUGCGAGUGUAGAGGUGAAAUUCGUAGAUAUUCGCAAGAACACCAGUGGCGAAGGCGACUACCUGGCCUGUUCUUGACGCUGAGGCGCGAAAGCUAGGGGAGCAAACGGG
rnacentral:rRNA from 1 species